rnacentral:rRNA from 1 species
AGCGAACGCUGGCGGCAGGCCUAACACAUGCAAGUCGAACGGCAGCACAGGAGAGCUUGCUCUCUGGGUGGCGAGUGGCGGACGGGUGAGGAAUACAUCGGAAUCUACUCUGUCGUGGGGGAUAACGUAGGGAAACUUACGCUAAUACCGCAUACGACCUACGGGUGAAAGCAGGGGACCUUCGGGCCUUGCGCGAUUGAAUGAGCCGAUGUCGGAUUAGCUAGUUGGCGGGGUAAAGGCCCACCAAGGCGACGAUCCGUAGCUGGUCUGAGAGGGUGAUCAGCCACACUGGAACUGAGACACGGUCCAGACUCCUACGGGAGGCAGCAGUGGGGAAUAUUGGACAAUGGGCGCAAGCCUGAUCCGGCCAUACCGCGUGGGUGAAGAAGGCCUUCGGGUUGUAAAGCCCUUUUGUUGGGAAAGAAAUCCAGCUGGCUAAUACCCGGUUGGGAUGACGGUACCCAAAGAAUAAGCACCGGCUAACUUCGUGCCAGCCGCCGCCGUAA